GACGAACGCUGGCGGCGUGCUUAACACAUGCAAGUCGAACGAUGAACCUUCCAUGAUCUAUUCGUAGAGAUCGGAAGCGGAUUAGUGGCGAACGGGUGAGUAACGCGUGAGCAACCUGCCUUAAACAACGGGAUAGCCUCGGGAAACCGGGAUUAAUACCGUAUGAGACUCCGCCUUCCCAUGAAGAAGAGGUUAAAGAUUUAUCGGUUUAAGAUGGGCUCGCGUCUGAUUAGCUAGUUGGUGAGAUAAAAGCCCACCAAGGCAACGAUCAGUAACCGGCUUGAGAGAGUGAACGGUCACAUUGGAACUGAGACACGGUCCAAACUCCUACGGGAGGCAGCAGUGGGGAAUAUUGCACAAUGGGGGAAACCCUGAUGCAGCGACGCCGCGUGAGCGAUGAAGGAAUUCGUUUCGUAAAGCUCUGUCCAAGGGGAAGAUAAUGACAGUACCCUUGGAGGAAGCCCCGGCUAAAUACGUGCCAGCAGCCGCGGUAAAAC
rnacentral:rRNA from 1 species